AAGACUGUGCUUCACAGGAUCAUUUCUGUAGGCAAGUUUUCACCACAAGUUUUUUCCGAAAGGAAAAGAUUUCCCACCCACGAUGAUGAGACACUGGUGACCAGUUCGGAGCGUGAAACUUGGCGCGGGUAUCGCCCAUUCGAUUCAUUCGAAAGGGCACCACGCUUCUGAUGAUCGGCUUCCUUGCAAUAGAACUGGUCGCGGUCUGAGUGGU
rfam:Aedes albopictus isolate Foshan contig242817, whole genome shotgun sequence.